rnacentral:rRNA from 1 species
CCUACGGAGGGCAGCAGUGAGGAAUAUUGGUCAAUGGGCGCGAGCCUGAACCAGCCAAGUCGCGUGAGGGAAGACGGCCCUCCGGGUUGUAACCCUCUUUUGCCGGGGAGCAACGGACGCCACGUGUGGCGCCACUGAGAGUACCCGGAGAAAAAGCAUCGGCUAACUCCGUGCCAGCAGCCGCGGUAAUACGGGGGAUGCGAGCGUUAUCCGGUUUUAUUGGGUUUAAAGGGUGCGUAGGCGGAGCGUUAAGUCAGUGGUAAAAUUGAGGGGCUCAACCCCUUCCCGCCAUUGAAACUGGCGCUCUUGAGUGGAAGAGAAGUAUGCGGAAUGCGUGGUGUAGCGGUGAAAUGCAUAGAUAUCACGCAGAACCCCGAUUGCGAAGGCAGCAUGCCGGCUUCCGACUGACGCUGAAGCACGAAAGCGUGGGGAUCGAACAGGAUUAGAUACCCGAGUAGUC